rnacentral:tRNA from 1 species
GGCGAUUUAGUGUAGUGGUCUAGCACGCCGCCCUCUCACGGCGGAAACUCGGGUUCGAGUCCCGGAUUCGCUA